GACCGGGUGUCAAAAAUCGUGAUUUUUCAACUGGACUAUCGUGCGCGGGCGCUUCAGUCUCACUCAAGAGUGCGCCGAGGACUGACGUGACGCGCGCAGGCCGCCAGUGUUUACAUAAAACGCUCAUCAAAAUUUAAUCAUAAAUAUGGAAACAGAAAGACAGAAAUUCUACAAACAUAAAAUCAAACGAAUUUUGACCAAGGAUGAUGCAUCUUCAGUGAUUGAUGAAAACGACAAAUCUACCGUAACAUUAUUAGGAAGUACUUCUUAUCAUAAGCAAGUCAAUGAUUUCAGUAUUAUGAAUUCGAGCAACACAGAUCAACAAUCAGAAACCUUGUUAGAUGACAAAGUUGAACCGAACUUUCAUGCGAUUACUGUAAAUGAGACAAAAAUGACAGAUGAAAAUGUAUCUGAUUUGAAGGAUCGUGAUAUAAUUAUUAACGAAGUAAUUAUUGAAGUGGAGAGAGAGGUGAU